UUACGGCCACAUCACGUUGAAACACGAGUUCCCGUACGCUCACCGAAGUUAAGCAAUGUCGAGCCUGAUCAAUACCUAGAUGAGUGACCAUUUGGGAAUAUAUGGUGCCGCAAG